CCUACGGGUGGCUGCAGUGGGGAAUAUUGGACAAUGGGCGAAAGCCUGAUCCAGCCAUGCCGCGUGUGUGAAGAAGGCCUUCGGGUUGUAAAGCACUUUCAGUGGGGAAGAAAGCCUUGGGGCUAAUACCCUCGAGGAAGGACAUCACCCACAGAAGAAGCACCGGCUAACUCCGUGCCAGCAGCCGCGGUAAUACGGAGGGUGCGAGCGUUAAUCGGAAUUACUGGGCGUAAAGCGCGCGUAGGCGGUCUGAUAAGCCGGUUGUGAAAGCCCCGGGCUCAACCUGGGAACGGCAUCCGGAACGGGCAGGCUAGAGUGCAGGAGAGGAAGGUAGAAUUCCCGGUGGAGCGGUGAAAUGCGUAGAGAUCGGGAGGAAUACCAGUGGCGAAGGCGGCCUUCUGGACUGACACUGACGCUGAGGUGCGAAAGCGUGGGUAGCAAACAGGAUUAGAUACCCCAGUAGUC
rnacentral:rRNA from 1 species